GAUGAACGCUAGCGGCAGGCUUAAUACAUGCAAGUCGUGGGGCAGCAUGAGUAGCAAUACUUGAUGGCGACCGGCAAACGGGUGCGGAACACGUACACAACCUUCCGAUAAGUGGGGAAUAGCCCAGAGAAAUUUGGAUUAAUACCCCGUAACAUAUAGAGUAGGCAUCUUCUUUAUAUUAUAGCUUCGGCGCUUAUUGAUGGGUGUGCGUCUGAUUAGGUAGUUGGCGGGGUAACGGCCCACCAAGCCUACGAUCAGUAGCUGAUGUGAGAGCGUGAUCAGCCACACGGGCACUGAGACACGGGCCCGACUCCUACGGGAGGCAGCAGUAAGGAAUAUUGGACAACGGGCGAAAGCCUGAUCCAGCUAUGCCGCGUGAAGGAUUAAGGUCCUCUGGAUUGUAAACUUCUUUUAUUUGGGACGAAAAAAGGGAAUUCUUUCCCACUUGACGGUACCAAGUGAAUAAGCACCGGCUAACUCCGUGCCAGCCGCCGCCGUAA
rnacentral:rRNA from 1 species